UGGGGAAUCUUGGACAAUGGGCGCAAGCCUGAUCCAGCCAUGCCGCGUGAGCGAUGAAGGCCUUCGGGUUGUAAAGCUCUUUCGUGGGGGAAGAUAAUGACUGUACCCCAAGAAGAAGCCCCGGCUAACUCCGUGCCAGCAGCCGCGGUAAUACGGAGGGGGCUAGCGUUGUUCGGAAUUACUGGGCGUAAAGCGCACGUAGGCGGGCUGGAAAGUCAGGGGUGAAAUCCCGGGGCUCAACCCCGGAACUGCCUUUGAAACUCCCAGUCUUGAGGUCGAGAGAGGUGGGUGGAAUUCCGAGUGUAGAGGUGAAAUUCGUAGAUAUUCGGAGGAACACCAGUGGCGAAGGCGGCCCACUGGCUCGAUACUGACGCUGAGGUGCGAAAGCGUGGGGAGCAAACAGG
rnacentral:rRNA from 1 species